rnacentral:rRNA from 2 species
GGUGCGGCGGCGUGCUACUCUCCCACACCCUGUCGGGUGCAGUACCAUCGCCGUGCCAGGCCUUAGCUUCCGGGUUCGGAAUGGGACCGGGCGUCUCACCUGGGCCAUGGCCGCCG